rnacentral:rRNA from 1 species
GGUUAAGUCUGCCCAGUGAAAACUAAUUUUUUAACGGCCGCAGUACUUUGACUGUGCUAAGGUAGCAAAAUAAAUAGGCUUUUAAUUAAGGUCGAGAAUGAAUGGCACCAUGGGCGUAAACUGUCUCCUUUUAUGAUUGUUAAUUUGUUUAAUAGGUGAAAAGCCCUAUAUUAAAAAUAAUAGACGAGAAGACCCUUAGAGUUUUUAACCAUAUUAGCUAUUAGAUUAGUUUAUUAAUUUUUUGUUGGGGCGACAUAGUAUCAAAUAGCAUACUUAAUAUUAUUGAUGUAACAAGGCUUUAUUACAAUUGAAUAUAACUACCUAAGGGAUAACAGCAUAAUUUUUAACAUAAAGAUUGUGACCUCGAUGUUGGACUAGGGACUAAAUGUAUUAGUCAUAUA